GCACCAACCCCUCAAGAGACACAUCCUUGCCUGCCUCUUGCGUUCUCUUCUCCGUAGCUGGCAGAUAAAGGAGGAAGCAAACUUGCUGAAGCAAACCUGCCCGGCAAGAAGGGACCCCUCAAGGUAACCCCAGCGUCUUCCAGUUUGCGAUUUGCUCACCAACAAUACUGAUCGAUCGAUAGGUAGAUGCUGACCCUCUCUUUUUGUGAUGUGUGGCUAUUGCAGCUGGACGAAUGGGUGUUGUGCCGGCUGUACAACAAGAAGAACAGCUGGGAGAAGGUCAAGGUGGAGAAGGACAUGGCUGUGGAGGCAUGGCCUGGACGCUCAUCAACCUCGGCCACUUCUUGAUUACAUACCACUUCUUCCACUGGAAGAAGGGAACUCCAUUCGCUGAUGAUCAGGGGGUGUAUAAUAGAUUGACUUGGUGGGAGCAAAUGGACAACGGCAAGCAGCUUACUCGCAACAGAAAAUUUCUUGUUGUGGUUCCUGUAGUCCUGUAUGUUUUAUUUUGUUUCAAUUUUAUUAAUACUGCUUUUGGGAGCUUACUUGGCAAGGAACAACAUGGCAGGAUGUAUGCACAAAGAUUGAUUCUGGCUAGUCAGAAAUACUACACUUAUUCAUUAAUUAUGCAAAGAACACUUGUUAGUAACAUCGUCUAACUUGCAUAUUCACGCCAUUAUACAUGUGUAAGGAUUGGGCAUUGCUCUAUUGCUCUAUUCACGCCAUUAUACAUGUGUAAAAAUUGUUCAAUUAACUUCAUUAUCUUUAAUAAUUGAUUAUUCACUUCCGGUUAGUAGUAACUUAAACUUGGCAGCAAACUGGUUAAAUACUUGGCUGUGAUCACGUUUGUGGUUGGUGUGCGAGCAAGCAAAAUCAGAAAUGAUCCCAACUAAUCAUAUUAUUUUUGCGUUUGCUAGAAUUGUCCAUGGACAUUUAAUCUGUUUUGUGUAUAGUAGGUAAAAUAGCAGAGUACAGUAAUUACCAUUUUGUCUGCUGACAUACACUUCCAAAGACCUUUUAGCGCAGAGUUCAUAUAGUUACACAAUGCUUUUUAGCUUACAUAUCAUACAGCUAUGCAGUGCUCCCUACACUGUCUGUUUACUAUAUAUAUCAUUCAUGUAUUCUUGGAUAGUACUGACUACAUACCAGGGCAAUUAACCACAAUUUGCCAUAAUUUGCAGCGGCCGUGCUCCACCAGCUGUUUUGUGGUUCUUGCAAUCAGGGGAGUUCCUCGCAAGACAGGGCCCUCCCUCUUAUGCUUCUUCUACUACCUACAGUUGCUGUUGUUGCUGAUUGGUCUAUGCACGGUGGGUAAUCCAUCAAUGUUUAUUUGCUACUGCUGUAGUAGCUGGUAUGCUUGAUGCGUGUAUCUCUGUCUCCUUACUGUUUUGCUAGAACCAUAAAUCCCGAUGCAUGAUGAUUAUAGUCUGGUUUGCUAGAUCUGUUCUAUUGGUGCUUAAAAUUUGACAUGCCUGGAUUCUGAAUGAACUUGUUCUUACAGUUCUUUUCAUUUCUAUGAUCAAUUUAGUUAGAGUUGCACAUGUCAGCAUACUAUAUACCAGAAAAAUCUUAGCUAGUGAGAACAUUUCACUCCAUGAACAUG